GAUGAACGCUGGCGGCGUGCCUAAUACAUGCAAGUCGAACGCACAGCGAAAGGUGCUUGCACCUUUCAAGUGAGUGGCGGACGGGUGAGUAACACGUGGAUGACCUACCUCAAGGUUGGGGAUAACAUUUGGAAACAGAUGCUAAUACCGAAUAAAACUUCGUAUCGCAUGAUACAAGGUUAAAAGGCGCUACGGCGUCACCUAGAGAUGGAUCCGCGGUGCAUUAGUUAGUUGGUGGGUAAAGGCCGUACCAAGACAAUGAUGCAUAGCCGAGUUGAGAGACUGAUCGGCCACAUUGGGACUGAGACACGGGCCCAAACUCCUACGGGAGGCUGCAGUAGGGAAUCUUCCACAAUGGGCGAAAGCCUGAUGGAGCAACGCCGCGUGUGUGAUG
rnacentral:rRNA from 1 species